AACCAGGCAAGGAGGAGGAGACGGCAGUGCGGCGAUGAGAGCGAUGAGGACAUGGAUACAGAAUUCUCUCAAACUGCGGGCCCCGGCGCUUUGGAGAUCAUGCUGUUAAUGGGGUGGAUGUAGCCACUGA